rnacentral:rRNA from 1 species
GACGAACGCUGGCGGCGUGCUUAACACAUGCAAGUCGAACGGUGAUCUUAGAGCUUGCUCUAGGUGAUCAGUGGCGAACGGGUGAGUAAAACGUGAGUAACCUGCCCCAGACUCUGGGAUAACCUCGGGAAACCGGGGCUAAUACCGGAUACGCGACUCCACCGCAUGGCGAGGGUUGGGAAAGUUCUUCGGUCUGGGAUGGGCUCGCGGCCUAUCAGCUUGUUGGUGAGGUAGUGGCUGCCCAAGGCGACGACGGGUAGCCGGCCUGAGAGGGCGCCCGGCCACACUGGAACUGAGACACGGUCCAGACUCCUACGGGAGGCAGCAGUGGGGAAUAUUGCACAAUGGGCGCAAGCCUGAUGCAGCGACGCCGCGUGGGGGAUGAAGGCCUUCGGGUUGUAAACCCCUUUCAGCAGGGAAGAAGCGAAAGUGACGGUACCUGCAGAAGAAGCGCCGGCUAACUACGUGCCAGCCGCCGCAGUAACAC